rnacentral:miRNA from 1 species
AGGUCUACAGCCAUGCCACCCUGAGCAAGCUCGAUCCUGUCUGAUCUCAGAAGCUAAGCAGGGUCGGGCCUGGUUAGUACUUAGAUGGG